rnacentral:misc_RNA from 1 species
GUUGGAGGGGGCUUGCUCCCGAUGGCGGUGCGUCAGUCGGACUAUUUAUAACUGACACUGUGCUAUCGGGAGCAAGCGCCCUCGCAC